rnacentral:rRNA from 1 species
UUCCGGUUGAUCCCGCCGGACCUGACUGCUAUCAGAUUGAUACUAAGCCAUGUUAGUCAUUGUAGUAAUACAAGGCAGACAGCUCAGUAACGCGUAGUCAACCUAACUUAUGGACGGAAAUAGCCUCGGGAAACUGAGGAUAAUGUCCGAUAGAUCAUUAUGCCUGGAAUGGUUUAUGGUCGAAACGAAUAUCGCCGUAGGAUGGGACUGCGAGCUAUCAGCUUGUUGGUGAGGUAAUGGCCCACCAAGGCAAUUACAGCUACGGGCUCUGAGAGGAGUAGCCCGGAGAUGGGUACUGAGACAAGGACCCAGGCCCUAUGGGGCGCAGCAGGCGAGAAAACUUUGCAAUGUGCGAAAGCCCGACAAGGUUAAUCUGAGUGGUUCCUGCUAAAGGAACCUUUUGUUAGUCCUAAAAACACUGAUGAAUAAGGGGUGGGCAAGUUCUGGUGUCAGCCGCCGCGGUAAAACCAGCACCUCAAGUGGUCAGGAUGAUUAUUGGGCCUAAAGCAUCCGUAGCCUGUUCUAUAAGUUUCCGGUUAAAUCCAUACGCUCAACGUAUGGGCUGCCGAAAAUACUGUAGAACUAGGGAGUGGGAGAGGUAGACGGUACUCGGUAGGAAGAGGUAAAAUUCUUUGAUCUAUUGAUGACCACCUGUGGCGAAGGCGGUCUACCAGAACACGUUCGACGGUGAGGGAUGAAAG